rnacentral:rRNA from 1 species
AGUGGCGAACGGGUGAGGAUCACGUGAGAAACCUGCCCCAGACUUUGGGAUAACGCUUCGAAAGGAGUGCUAAUACCGGAUACCAGCACGGAGGACAUCCUCUGUGCUUGAAAGUUUUUCGGUUAGGGAUGGGCUCGCGGCCUAUCAGCUAGUUGGUGAGGUAAAAGCUCACCAAGGCGACGACGGGUAUCCGGCCUGAGAGGGCGACCGGACACACUGGGACUGAGACACGGCCCAGACUCC